rnacentral:rRNA from 1 species
UGGUGGAGUGAUUUGUCUGGUUAAUUCCGAUAACGAACGAGACUCUAGCCUAUUAAAUAGUUAACGCAUGCUGAGCAGUGCUUGUUAACUUCUUAGGGGGAUUUACCACGUUAUAGUGGCAAGAAAUUGGGCAAUAACA